rnacentral:rRNA from 1 species
UGAAUACGAGACGCUAAGGCGUCGAAGUAGUGUAUGUCAUACCUCCAAGAAAAGCUUGCACUGUCAUAGAUAAAAAACGCCUGUACCAUAACCGACACAGGUGGGUAGGUAGAGUAUACUAGGGGGCGCGAGAUAACUCUCUCUAAGGAACUCGGCAAAAUAACUCCGUAACUUCGGGAGAAGGAGUGCCUUAUUCGUAAGGUUGCAAUAACAAGAUCCAAGCAACUGUUUAUCAAAAACACAGGUCUCCGCUAAGUCGUAAGACGAUGUAUGGGGGCUGACGCCUGCCCAGUGCCAGAAGGUUAAAGAAGUUGGUUAGCAAUUGCGAAGCUGAUAACUGAAGCCCUGGUGAACGGCGGCCGUAACUAUAACGGUCCUAAGGUAGCGAAAUUCCUUGUCGGGUAAGUUCCGACCCGCACGAAAGGCGUAAUGAUUUGGAUACUGUCUCGGAGAGGGGCUCGGUGAAAUAGACUUGUCUGUGAAGAUGCGGACUACCUGCACCAGGACAGAAAGACCCUAUGAAGCUUUACUGUAACUUGAAAUUGAAAUUGGACUUUAUUCGCGCAGCAUAGGUGGGAGGCGUUGGUUAUAAUCUUGCGGGAUUAUUGGAGCCAUCAGUGAGAUACCACUCUUGUAAUGUUAGAUUUCUAACUUUGAAUCAUUAUCUGGUCAAAGAACAGUUUCAGGCGGGCAGUUUGACUGGGGCGGUCGCCUCCUAAACGGUAACGGAGGCGUACAAAGGUUUCCUCUGAACGGUUAGAAAUCGUAUCUAGAGUGUAAAGGCAUAAGGAAGCUUGACUGUGAGACCUACAAGUCGAGCAGGGACGAAAGUCGGUCUUAGUGAUCUGACGGUACUGAGCGGAAAGGCCGUCACUCAACGGAUAAAAGUUACUCUAAGGAUAACAGGCUGAUCUCCCCCAAGAGUUCACAUCGACGGGGAGGUUUGGCACCUCGAUGUCGGCUCAUCGCAUCCUGGGGCGGUAGUACGUCCCAAGGGUUGGGCUGUUCGCCCAUGAAAGCGGUACGCGAGCUGGGUUCAGAACGUCGUGAGACAGUUCGGUCCAUAUCCGGUGUAGGCGUUAGAAUAUUGAGAGGAGCCUUCUUUAGUACGAGAGGACCGAGAAGGACAUACCUCUGGUGUACCAGUUAUCGUGCCAACGGUAAACGCUGGGUAGCUAUGUAUGGAGUGGAUAACCGCUGAAAGCAUCUAAGUGGGAAGCCCACCUCAAGAUAAGUAUUCUCAUC